rnacentral:rRNA from 1 species
AUGGCUUCAUCGUGUUCCACGACAUGGCCCCCGUAUGCUAACCGUGAAGACAUGUCGAAGAAGUGGGGUGACGCCAAGUUGGAUAAGGUGAAGGAAAAAUACAUGAAAACUCCAUCAUGUUGGUGUGGAGAUGAUUGCAAAGUGAAGGUAUCCACCAACCGCAAGAAGUCAUGGACUGAAGGAAGAAGAUUUUGUGUGUGUCCCAACUAUGCACAUGAUCGUGCGCGUCCAACUAAUGCCUAUGAUGUGCCGCCGUCACCACCUCCGCUUUGCAAGUACUUCACAUGGAUAGAUCAAGAUGUGCCACAAGAUGUCAAAAAGGAUUAA